UACGAAGGGGGCUAGCGGUGUUCGGAAUUACUGGGCGUAAAGCGCACGUAGGCUGAUUAGAAAGUCAGGGGUGAAAUCCCGGGGCUCAACCUCGGAACUGCCUUUGAUACUGCUGAUCUCGAGUCCGGAAGAGGUGAGUGGAAUUCCUUGUGUAGAGGUGACAUUCGUAGAUAUUAGGAAGAACACCAGUGGCGAAGGCGGCUCACUGGUCUGGUAAUGACGCUGAGGUGCUAAAGCGUGGGGAGCAAACAGG
rnacentral:rRNA from 1 species